GAUGAACGCUGGCGGCGUGCCUAAUACAUGCAAGUCGAGCGAACGGACGAGAAGCUUGCUUCUCUGAUGUUAGCGGCGGACGGGUGAGUAACACGUGGAUAACCUACCUAUAAGACUGGGAUAACUUCGGGAAACCGGAGCUAAUACCGGAUGAUAUUUUGAACCGCAUGGUUCAAAAGUGAAAGACGGUCUUGCUGUCACUUAUAGAUGGAUCCGCGCUGCAUUAGCUAGUUGGUAAGGUAACGGCUUACCAAGGCAACGAUGCAUAGCCGACCUGAGAGGGUGAUCGGCCACACUGGAACUGAGGCACGGUCCAGACUCCUACGGGAGGCAGCAGUAGGGAAUCAUCCGCAAUGGGCGAAAGCCUGACGGAGCAACGCCGCGUGAGUGAUGAAGGUCUUCGGAUCGUAAAACUCUGUUAUUAGGGAAGAACAUAUGUGUAAGUAACUGUGCACAUCUUGACGGUACCUAAUCAGAAAGCCACGGCUAACUACGUG
rnacentral:rRNA from 1 species